GACGAACGCUGGCGGCGUGCUUAACACAUGCCAGUCGAACGGUGAAGCGCCUUCCUUUUUGGUGGGUGUGGAUGAGUGGCGAACGGGUGGGUAACACGUGAGUAACCUGCCCCCUUCUUCUGGAUAACCGCAUGAAAGUGUGGCUAAUACGGGAUAUUCUGGGUCUGUCGCAUGAUGGGUCUGGGAAAGAUAUUGUUUCGGUGGGGGAUGGGCUCGCGGCCUAUCAGCUUGUUGGUGGGGUGAUGGCCUACCAAGGCGGUGACGGGUAGCCGGCCUGAGAGGGUGGACGGCCACACUGGGACUGAGACACGGCCCAGACUCCGACGGGAGGCAGCCGUGUGGAAUAUGGCACAAUGGGCGAAAGCCUGAUGCAGCGACGCCGCGUGAGGGACGGAGGCCUUCGGGUUGUGAACCUCUUUCGCCAGUGAAGCAGGCCUGCCUCGUUUGUGGGUGGGUUGACGGUAGCUGGAGAAGAAGCGCCGGCUAACUACGUG
rnacentral:rRNA from 1 species